GACCAGUAGUGCAAGUAUAUUGUGAGGUGCAUAUGUAGAUGCCAAGUCCUUACACCUUUGAGGAGUCCUCACAUUCUAGAUUAGGCUUCUGAAGUCUUUACGAGCAAGUUCAGGAGAUUGGAUCAUUUCACUAAAACUUGUCUCUUUGAAAUGGCAAUUGAAACAAGUCUGGAAUCUUGCACCAAAGAUGCUGCAUAACACAAAACACAUUGGACCAGAAUAUAAAGCUUCCUUUUUCUAAUAGUUCAAACUCAACAAGCUACCGUGCAAACAGCGGUAAGUCAAAUCCCUGUCAGUAACUUUCCUUGUGGGCCUCACCUUUUACUUUGAUGGAUUGUAGCAGCUGAGUUAUGAUCUGUCAAAGGCAAGAAAUUUUGAUUUUUCCUGAGCUGCAUCAGUUCAUGCCCUACUGUCACUCUCCCAGUGAAAUAUUGAUGGGAAUUAUCUCACAUGCUGGUGGCCUCACUGAGAAGGUGGGUGUCUGUGUAAUACCACUUACUCUAAUCAAUAUUAUAGUGGUCAUCUGCAAAGGAAAGAGGUGGAUCCCUUUUUUACUCAUGCUGUGGUACAUGUGUGAGAAUCACAUGUGAUUCUCACAUGUCAGUUAAGAUGUGGGUGGUGUUGUGCUGCUUUGUAUUUUCCGUCCUGUUUUCUCUUUAUUACGUUUUUUUUUCUUUUUUCUGUGAGUGGCAAUGCUCUUUAAUUUUGUACCUGUUGUUGCUCUGAGAAUAUCUAGCUCUUUUAUUUAUUUAUUUUUUUAACCUUGGUGUUUGGAACCCAGUUGAAGCAGUGCAUUCAUAUUUUAUUCUGCUUUUUUUUUUAUCUUUAUUUAACACAUUUGGAUUAAAGACUUAGUUAUUUGGUUAAUUUAUGGAUUUUUUUAAGUUCAUUUUGAAAAGUUUUCAAUUUCUUGGUUUACAUGGCUUUAUGGGAAUCCUAUUGGAGGGAGAAGAUUUGACUUGCUCUCUAUUAGAAUGCAAUGUCAGCUAAAGCAGAAGCUAAAACCUUUUGUCUUUACAAUUUAAAGUAGAAGUAACCAAGGCGACAGGCAACAAGCUUCAUAAAGCUGAACUACUUUCCUUGGUGAAUGAAUAAUCACGUGAGAUUUUAUCUAAGCUAAUGUAGCUAACUAUAGUGUUGGCAUGUCAGCCAGUAUGACAUGUUGCUGAAGUAAGUGCCUUUUUACCAGGUGCAACUUGGUGGUGUAGAUGUAUCUUUAUUACUUUUUUGUAGAGGGGAGCAUAUUUUGUUCUUUACACAGGAAACUUGGGUCACAAGUGUGAGCUGUAGCUCUGCUUGGUUGUGUGUGUAAUUGGGUAUUGCUGUACCACUGCAUUGUUUGUGCUUUGUAGAGGUGUUUAGUGUUUUUGGUUGUGUAUGAGAGGUUAUGUGCACUCAUAUCAUAUCAUAUCAUAAUUCAUGAUUUAAAAACUGCUAAAAGAAAUUUUGACUUAAUAUUUAAAAUAUUUCAUAACUAAGGCAGAAAGGAUUUAAAACUUUGUUUAAAACAUUGCCUUUUCACUGUCUGAUGAAAAGGUAAGCUACCUUUGUAGUGUUUAAAAAAGAAAGGUCAUACAUGAAGUUGUUAUUACAUUAUGUUAAGUGAAAUAUGGCC
ensembl:lncRNA